GAUGAACGCUGGCGGCGUGCCUAAUACAUGCAAGUCGAGCGAACAGACGAGGAGCUUGCUCCUCUGACGUUAGCGGCGGACGGGUGAGUAACACGUGGAUAACCUACCUAUAAGACUGGGAUAACUUCGGGAAACCGGAGCUAAUACCGGAUAAUAUAUUGAACCGCAUGGUUCAAUAGUGAAAGACGGUUUUGCUGUCACUUAUAGAUGGAUCCGCGCCGCAUUAGCUAGUUGGUAAGGUAACGGCUUACCAAGGCGACGAUGCGUAGCCGACCUGAGAGGGUGAUCGGCCACACUGGAACUGAGACACGGUCCAGACUCCUACGGGAGGCAGCAGUAGGGAAUCUUCCGCAAUGGGCGAAAGCCUGACGGAGCAACGCCGCGUGAGUGAUGAAGGUCUUCGGAUCGUAAAACUCUGUUAUUAGGGAAGAACAAAUGUGUAAGUAACUAUCACGUCUUGACGGUACCUAAUCAGAAAGCCACGGCUAACUACGUG
rnacentral:rRNA from 1 species